AGUUCGGCUGGAUCGGUGACAGGUGCUGCAUGGCUGUCGUCAGCUCGUGCCGUGAGGUGUCGGGUUAAGUCCCAUACGAGCGCAACCCUUAUCGUUAGUUGCCAGCGGGUAAAGCCGGGAACUCUAGCGAAACUGCCGGUGUAAACCGAGAGGAAGGUGGGAUGACGUCAAAUCAGCACGGCCCUUAUGUCCAGGGCUACACACGUGUUACAAUGGCCGGUACAGAGGGCAGCUACCUGGAGACAGGAUGCGAAUCUCGAAAGCCGGUCUCAGUUCGGAUCGGAGUCUGCAACUCGACUCCGUGAAGCUGGAUUCGCUAGUAAUCGCGCAUCAGCCAUGGCGCGGUGAAUACGUUCCCGGGCCUU
rnacentral:rRNA from 1 species